rnacentral:miRNA from 1 species
GGCGUCGAUAUUCGACGUCAUAAACACGGUAAACUUAGAUGUUUAUGACGUCGAUAUUCGACGUAAUAAACACGGUCAACUUUGGUGUUUAUGGCGUCGAUAUUCGACGUCAUAAACACGGUAAACUUAGAUGUUUAUGACGUCGAUAUUCGACGUCAUAAACACGAUCAACUUUGGUGUUUAUCACGUCGAUAUUCGACGUCAUAAACACGAUCAACUUUGGUGUUUAUGACGUCGAUAUUCGACGUC